GGUUGUAUGGAGUAGUUGGUUAACUUAGGAGAUUCUGAUUGUUCUGUGCCUCAAGUGCCACAAUACGAUUCGACUUCUCUUGCCCUGGGUUCGAAUCCCAGUACGACCU
rnacentral:tRNA from 1 species